GACGAACGCUGGCGGCGUGCUUAACACAUGCCAGUCGAACGAUGAUCAGGAGCUUGCUCCUGUGAUUAGUGGCGAACGGGUGAGUAACACGUGAGUAACCUGCCCCUGACUCUGGGAUAAGCGUUGGAAACGACGUCUAAUACUGGAUAUGAUCACUGGCCGCAUGGUCUGGUGGUGGAAAGAUUUUUUGGUUGGGGAUGGACUCGCGGCCUAUCAGCUUGUUGGUGAGGUAAUGGCUCACCAAGGCGACGACGGGUAGCCGGCCUGAGAGGGUGACCGGCCACACUGGGACUGAGACACGGCCCAGACUCCUACGGGAGGCAGCAGUGGGGAAUAUUGCACAAUGGGCGAAAGCCUGAUGCAGCAACGCCGCGUGAGGGAUGACGGCCUUCGGGUUGUAAACCUCUUUUAGUAGGGAAGAAGCGAAAGUGACGGUACCUGCAGAAAAAGCACCGGCUAACUACGUG
rnacentral:rRNA from 1 species